AUACGGAGGGGGUUAGCGUUGUUCGGAAUUACUGGGCGUAAAGCGCACGUAGGCGGAUUGGAAAGUUGGGGGUGAAAUCCCAGGGCUCAAUCCUGGAACUGCCUCCAAAACUAACAGUCUAGAGUUCGAGAGAGGUGAGUGGAAUUCCAAGUGUAGAGGUGAAAUUCGUAGAUAUUUGGAGGAACACCAGUGGCGAAGGCGGCUCACUGGCUCGAUACUGACGCUGAGGUGCGAAAGCGUGGGGAGCAAACAGGAUUAGAAACCCGGGUAGUCC
rnacentral:rRNA from 1 species